rnacentral:rRNA from 1 species
GAUGAACGCUAGCUACAGGCUUAACACAUGCAAGUCGAGGGGCAGCAUGGUCUUAGCUUGCUAAGGCCGAUGGCGACCGGCGCACGGGUGAGUAACGCGUAUCCAACCUGCCUUACACUCUUGGACAGCCUUCUGAAAGGGAGAUUAAUACAAGAUGUUAUCAUGAGUAAGCAUUUUCGCAUGAUUAAAGGUUUACCGGUGUAAGAUGGGGAUGCGUUCCAUUAGAUAGUAGGCGGGGUAACGGCCCACCUAGUCUUCGAUGGAUAGGGGUUCUGAGAGGAAGGUCCCCCACAUUGGAACUGAGACACGGUCCAAACUCCUACGGGAGGCAGCAGUGAGGAAUAUUGGUCAAUGGACGAGAGUCUGAACCAGCCAAGUAGCGUGAAGGAUGAAGGUUCUACGGAUUGUAAACUUCUUUUAUACGGGAAUAAACGGAUCCACGUGUGGAUUUUUGCAUGUACCGUAUGAAUAAGGAUCGGCUAACUCCGUGCCAGCAGCCGCGGUAAUACGGAGGAUCCGAGCGUUAUCCGGAUUUAUUGGGUUUAAAGGGAGCGUAGAUGGGUUGUUAAGUCAGUUGUGAAAGUUUGCGGCUCAACCGUAAAAUUGCAAUUGAUACUGGCAGUCUUGAGUACAGUUGAGGUAGGCGGAAUUCGUGGUGUAGCGGUGAAAUGCUUAGAUAUCACGAAGAACUCCGAUUGCGAAGGCAGCUUACUAACCUGUAACUGACAUUGAGGCUCGAAAGUGUGGGUAUCAAACAGG